rnacentral:rRNA from 1 species
GACGAACGCUGGCGGCGUGCUUAACACAUGCAAGUCGAACGCUGAAGCUCAGCUUUUGUUGGGUGGAUGAAUGGCGAACGGGUGAGUAACACGUGAGUAACCUGCCCCCUUCUUUGGGAUAACGCCCGGAAACGGGUGCUAAUACUGGAUAUUCACUGGUCUUCGCAUGGGGGUUGGUGGAAAGGGUUUUUCUGGUGGGGGAUGGGCUCGCGGCCUAUCAGCUUGUUGGUGGGGUGAUGGCCUACCAAGGCUUUGACGGGUAGCCGGCCUGAGAGGGUGACCGGUCACAUUGGGACUGGGAUACGGCCCAGAGUCAUACGGGAGGCAGCAGUGGGGAAUAUUGCACAAUGGGCGCAAGCCUGAUGCAGCGACGCCGCGUGAGGGAUGGAGGCCUUCGGGUUGUGAACCUCUUUCGCUCAUGGUCAAGCCGCAACAAUGGUUGUGGUGAGGGUAGUGGGUAAAGAAGCGCCGGCUAACUACGUG